AAAGGAAGCGAUUCCGGCUACGGAUGGUCAUGCGUCGCAUUAGCUAGUUGGCGGGGUAACGGCCCACCAAGGCGACGAUGCGUAGGGGUUCUGAGAGGAAGGUCCCCCACACUGGUACUGAGACACGGACCAGACUCCUACGGGAGGCAGCAGUGAGGAAUAUUGGUCAAUGGCCGCAGGGCUGAACCAGCCAAGUCGCGUGAGGGAUGACGGUCCUAUGGAUUGUAAACCUCUUUUGUCAGGGAGCAAAGGACGCCACGUGUGGCGUUUUGCGAGUACCUGAAGAAAAAGCAUCGGCUAACUCCGUGCCAGCAGCCGCGGUAAUACGGAGGAUGCGAGCGUUAUCCGGAUUUAUUGGGUUUAAAGGGUGCGCAGGCGGAAUGUCAAGUCAGCGGUAAAAUUUCGGGGCUCAACCCCGUCGUGCCGUUGAAACUGGCGUUCUUGAGUGAGCGAGAAGUAUGCGGAAUGCGUGGUGUAGCGGUGAAAUGCAUAGAUAUCACGCAGAACUCCGAUUGCGAAGGCAGCAUACCGGCGCUCAACUGACGCUCAUGCACGAAAGCGUGGGUAUCGAACAGGAUUAGAUACCCUGGUAGUCCACGCAGUAAACGAUGAAUACUAACUGUCCGGGCCGAUUGAGGUCUGG
rnacentral:rRNA from 1 species